GUGUUCGUAAUUUAAAAAAAAUAUCAAGCUGUGACCUUGACAAUAGAAAUUUACUCUCAUACACC
rnacentral:tRNA from 1 species